rnacentral:rRNA from 1 species
UGCUGGAGGUAUCAGAAGUGCGAAUGCUGACAUAAGUAACGAUAAAGCGGGUGAAAAGCCCGCUCGCCGGAAGACCAAGGGUUCCUGUCCAACGUUAAUCGGGGCAGGGUGAGUCGACCCCUAAGGCGAGGCCGAAAGGCGUAGUCGAUGGGAAACAGGUUAAUAUUCCUGUACUUGGUGUUACUGCGAAGGGGGGACGGAGAAGGCUAUGUUAGCCGGGCGACGGUUGUCCCGGUUUAAGCAUGUAGGCUGGUUAUCCAGGCAAAUCCGGAUAAUCAAGGCUGAGGUGUGAUGACGAGGCACUACGGUGCUGAAGUAACAAAUGCCCUGCUUCCAGGAAAAGCCUCUAAGCAUCAGGUAACAUCAAAUCGUACCCCAAACCGACACAGGUGGUCAGGUAGAGAAUACCAAGGCGCUUGAGAGAACUCGGGUGAAGGAACUAGGCAAAAUGGUGCCGUAACUUCGGGAGAAGGCACGCUGGUGUGUAGGUGAAGCCCCUGCGGGUGGAGCUGAGACCAGUCGAAGAUACCAGCUGGCUGCAACUGUUUAUUAAAAACACAGCACUGUGCAAACACGAAAGUGGACGUAUACGGUGUGACGCCUGCCCGGUGCCGGAAGGUUAAUUGAUGGGGUUAUCCGUAAGGAGAAGCUCUUGAUCGAAGCCCCGGUAAACGGCGGCCGUAACUAUAACGGUCCUAAGGUAGCGAAAUUCCUUGUCGGGUAAGUUCCGACCUGCACGAAUGGCGUAAUGAUGGCCAGGCUGUCUCCACCCGAGACUCAGUGAAAUUGAACUCGCUGUGAAGAUGCAGUGUACCCGCGGCAAGACGGAAAGACCCCGUGAACCUUUACUAUAGCUUGACACUGAACAUUGAGCCUUGAUGUGUAGGAUAGGUGGGAGGCUUUGAAGCGUGGACGCCAGUCUGCGUGGAGCCAACCUUGAAAUACCACCCUUUAAUGUUUGAUGUUCUAACGUUGGCCCCUGACCGGGGUUGCGGACAGUGUCUGGUGGGUAGUUUGACUGGGGCGGUCUCCUCCCAAAGCGUAACGGAGGAGCACGAAGGUUAGCUAAUCCUGGUCGGACAUCAGGAGGUUAGUGCAAUGGCAUAAGCUAGCUUGACUGCGAGCGUGACGGCGCGAGCAGGUGCGAAAGCAGGUCAUAGUGAUCCGGUGGUUCUGAAUGGAAGGGCCAUCGCUCAACGGAUAAAAGGUACUCCGGGGAUAACAGGCUGAUACCGCCCAAGAGUUCAUAUCGACGGCGGUGUUUGGCACCUCGAUGUCGGCUCAUCACAUCCUGGGGCUGAAGUAGGUCCCAAGGGUAUGGCUGUUCGCCAUUUAAAGUGGUACGCGAGCUGGGUUUAGAACGUCGUGAGACAGUUCGGUCCCUAUCUGCCGUGGGCGCUGGAGAAUUGAGGGGGGCUGCUCCUAGUACGAGAGGACCGGAGUGGACGCAUCACUGGUGUUCGGGUUGUCAUGCCAAUGGCACUGCCCGGUAGCUAAAUGCGGAAGAGAUAAGUGCUGAAAGCAUCUAAGCACGAAACUUGCCCCGAGAUGAGUUCUCCCUGAGACUUUAAGUCUCCUGAAGGAACGUUGAAGACGACGACGUUGAUAGGCCGGGUGUGUAAGCGCAGCGAUGCGUUGAGCUAACCGGUACUAAUGAACCGUGAGGCUUAACCUU